ACUCAAAUGAAUUGACGGGGAAACGCACAAUCAGCGUGCCAUGUGGUUUAAUUGGAUACGAAACCUUGAACCUUACCAAGAUUUGACAUGUAACUGCAAAUCCCUAGAAAUAGGGACUUCUUCGAGAGUGUUACACAGCUGCUGCAUGGUUGUCGUCAGUUCGUGUCGUGAGGCGUCGGCUUAAGUGCCGUAACGAACGCAACCCCUGUGCUAUGUUAAAUAUCCAUAGCAGACUGCCUCGGUUUUUUCCGAGGAGGAAGGAGGGGAUGACGUCAAAUCAGCAUGGCGCUUAUAUCUUGGGCUACACACAUGGCGUAAUGGGCAAUACAACGGGAUGCCAAGGCGCGAGCCGGAGCUAAUCCUUAUAAAGUUGUCCUCAGUUCGGAUUGCAGGCUGCAAUUCGCCUGCAUGAAGGGGAGUUGAUAGUAAUCGCGGAUCAGCAUCACCGCGGUGAAUACGUUCUCGUUUCUUGUACACACCGCCCGU
rnacentral:rRNA from 1 species